AGCAUGUGGUUUAAUUCGACGCAACGCGAAGAACCUUACCUGGGCUAGACAACGGUGGACCUCCCCAGAGAUGGGGAUUUCCCUUCGGGGACUGCCGGAUCAGGUGCUGCAUGGCUGUCGUCAGCUCGUGUCGUGAGAUGUUGGGUUAAGUCCCGCAACGAGCGCAACCCCCGCCUUUAGUUGCUACCAUUCAGUUGAGCACUCUAAAGGGACCGCCGGCGUUAAGCCGGAGGAAGGUGGGGAUGACGUCAAGUCCUCAUGGCCCUUAUGUCCAGGGCUACACACGUGCUACAAUGGGCGGUACAGAGGGUUGCCAACCCGCGAGGGGGAGCCAAUCCCAGAAAGCCGUCCUCAGUUCAGAUUGCAGGCUGCAACUCGCCUGCAUGAAGCUGGAGUUGCUAGUAAACGCGCGUCAGCUAUAGUGCGUUGAAUACGUUCUCGGGCCUU
rnacentral:rRNA from 1 species